CCUACGUGUGGCAGCAGUGGGGGAUAUUGCACAAUGGGGGAAACCCUGAUGCAGCGACGCCGCGUGUGGGAAGACGGUCCUCUGGAUUGUAAACCACUGUCCCCAGGGAAGAAGAUGACGGUACCUGGGGAGGAAGCGCCGGCUAACUACGUGCCAGCAGCCGCGGUAAGACGUAGGGAGCGAGCGUGGUCCGGAAGGACUGUGUGUAAAGGGAGCGGAGGCGGGACUUCCAGUUGUGUGGCUAAUCUACCGGCUCAACCGGUAGCCGCACUCCAAACUGCAGUUCUUGAGUGAAGUAGAGGCAGGCGGAAUUCCUAGUGUAUCGGUGACAUGCGUAGAUAUUAGGCGGCACACCAGUGGCGACGGCGGCCUGCUGGGCUUUUACUGCCGCUGCGGCUCUAAAGUGUGGGGAGCACACAGGAUUAGAUACCCUAGUAGUC
rnacentral:rRNA from 1 species